rnacentral:rRNA from 1 species
UACAGAGGUCUCAAGCGUUGUUCGGAUUCAUUGGGCGUAAAGGGCGCGUAGGCGGCGGGGUAAGUCGGGUGUGAAAUCCCGGGGCUCAACCCCGGAACUGCAUUCGAUACUGCCGGGCUAGAGUACUGGAGAGGAGAUUGGAAUUUACGGUGUAGCAGUGAAAUGCGUAGAUAUCGUAAGGAAGACCAGUGGCGAAGGCGGAUCUCUGGACAGUUACUGACACUGAGGCACGAAGGCCAGGGGAGCAAACGGG